GAAGCCAGAUAUCUUCGACGACAUACAUACACAUAUCAUGUCGAUCACAACAGGACGCUCGCUUCUAUUCCCAACUAUAUUGCUGCUCUUGAUGAUCCUGCCCACGCUUGGAGGACCCGCCGGCCAAUCCUACACAGGUCAAGUCCGUCCAGGUGGCCUUGGGGGCGGCUCUCCCACACGCCAGCCGCCUACUCCUUGUCCCUCUCCUCAACGUUGCCGUUGUCUUCCACAUUGUGAACUUGUAACGACUGCGACUUGAAUAGUCUAUCAAACUUCACACGAAUGGUAAAAUACGUUACUUCCCUAAAAAAACCGUGACGGUCGGUUUAUAUAUGGAUCAGUUAUGUAAAUUGGGAAAUGUAUACGCGUAGCAUCACAUUUAGUGAAUUUGAGUUCUGAGUUCCUCUAAACGCCUACCAAAUUUGUAUAAGAGUAUUCAGUAUAUGAUCAGCAAGCGAUAAAUUUUCAUCAUCUUAGUAUUAUCCAACUGUUUA